rnacentral:lncRNA from 10 species
GCUGCUGAUAACACUGCAACUUCCUUCUUCCAAGAUGAGAGAUUCAAAAGAAAGACAAAAAGAGUGGACACCUGUGAGUAUCAGCCAUUCCCUCAGGGAUGAUGAACUAGGACACUCAUGAUAUGACUGAUGCAUGUGUUCUACAAAAUGAAAAAUUAAAUCAAGAAAAAGGAGCUUAUAGGAUUCAGUGACCACAGGUCCCAACAAAAGAGAAAAAUGAAGAAAAUCCCUGGGUCAUUUUUGAUUAAGAAAAAUUAAAAAUGACCAUUGUGCAGCCAUCCUAAAGAGUUAUAAGUCCAGAAUGAUGUAAAACUCAAGCCUCAGAAGAGAAAUACGUCUUCAGGAAAAUUAAAAUGACAUGAAGACUAUGUAUAACAUGGCCAAUGUUUUUGAUAAAAUGUUAUGAACAAA